rnacentral:rRNA from 1 species
GUAUAUUAAAGUUGUUGCGGUUAAAAAGCUCGUAGUUGGAUUUCUUCCGGGGCAGUCGGUCCACACUAUGUGUGCGUAUCUGAUUUGACUUUGGAAUCCUCUUGGGGAACAUUUGUGCGCUUCAUUGCGUGCUAUGGUAUUCAAGACUUUUACUUUGAGGAAAUUAGAGUGUUCACGGCGGGCAAUCGCCCUGAAUACAUUAGCAUGGAAUAAUAAUAUAGGACUUUGGUUCUAUUUUGUUGGUUUCUAGAGCUAAAGUAAUGAUUAAUAGGGACACUUGGGGGCAUUCGUAUUAUCACGUCAGAGGUGGAAUUCUUGGAUUGUGUUACGACGAACUACUGCGAAAGCAUUUGCCAAGGAUGUUUUCAUUGAUCAAGAACGAAAGUAAGGGGAUCGAAGACGCUUAGAUACCGUCGUAGUCUUUACCAUAAACUAUGCCAACUAGGGAUUGGAGGGCGUUCUUCAUUCGACUCCUUCAGCACCUUAUGAGAAAUCAAAGUCUUUGGGUUCCGGGGGGAGUAUGGUCGCAAGGCUUAAACUUAAAGGAAUU